rnacentral:rRNA from 1 species
ACCGACAGCAAUAUGAAGGCCUAGGCUGAAGACUUUGCCGGAUUAGCUGAGAGGUGGUGCAUUGGCCGUCGUCAGUUCGUACUGUGAAGCAUCCUGUUAAGUCAGGCAACGAGCGAGACCCACGCCCACAGUUGCCAGCGUACUCUCCGGAGUGACGGGUACACUGUGGGGACCGCCGCUGCUAAAGCGGAGGAAGGAAUGGGCAACGGUAGGUCAGUAUGCCCCGAAUAUCCCGGGCUACACGCGAGCUACAAUGGUUGGUACAAUGGGUAUCUACCCCGAAAGGGGAUGGAAAUCUCCUAAAGCCAAUCUUAGUCCGGAUUGAGGGCUGCAACUCGCCCUCAUGAAGCUGGAAUCCGUAGUAAUCGCGUUUCAACAGAACGCGGUGAAUACGUCCCUGCUCCUU